rnacentral:tRNA from 1 species
GUGGGUAUAGCUCAGUGGUAGAGUGGGUACUUAGCAUCCACAAAGUCCUGGGUUCAAUCCCCAAUACCUCCG